rnacentral:rRNA from 1 species
GCAUAAUCAUUUGCCGUUUAAUUGGUGGUGGAAUGAAUGAAUAUACGAGAGCUCUACUGUCUCACCUUUACAAAUAAAAAUUGACCCUCAAGUGAAGAGACUUGAAUUUUCCAAAAAGACGAAAAGACCCUAUAGAGCUUUACCUAACCCCUAUAUACUAUUGGUAAAAGGUUUAGUUGGGGCAACUAGAGAGAAACUAAAACCUCUCUUUCCAAAAUCUUAAUUCUGAUCCGUUUUACGAUAAACAGAAAAAGCUACCUUAGGGAUAACAGGCUAAUCCUCUUUAAGAGACCAUAUUGACAAGAGGGU